rnacentral:tRNA from 1 species
AACUAGCUGGCUCAGUCGGUAGAGUACAGGACUCUUGAUCUAAGGGUUGUGAGUUCAAGCCCCACGUUGGGUG